rnacentral:rRNA from 1 species
AUUGAACGCUGGCGGAAUGCUUUACACAUGCAAGUCGAACGGCAGCACGGGGGCAACCCUGGUGGCGAGUGGCGAACGGGUGAGUAAUACAUCGGAACGUGCCCGGUCGUGGGGGAUAACGUAGCGAAAGUUACGCUAAUACCGCAUACGAUCUGAGGAUGAAAGCGGGGGACCUUCGGGCCUCGCGCGAUCGGAGCGGCCGAUGUCAGAUUAGGUAGUUGGUGGGGUAAAGGCCUACCAAGCCGACUAUCUGUAGCUGGUCUGAGAGGACGACCAGCCACACUGGGACUUAGACACGGCCCAGACUCCUACGGGAGGCAGCAGUGGGGAAUUUUGGACAAUGGGCGCAAGCCUGAUCCAGCCAUGCCGCGUGCAGGACGAAGGCCUUCGGGUUGUAAACUGCUUUUGUAUGGAACGAAAAGGCUCUGGCUAAUACCUGGGGCUCAUGACGGUACCGUAAGAAUAAGCACCGGCUAACUACGUG